GGAACGAUGGAGCUUGCUCCAGGCGUCGAGCGGCGGACGGGUGAGUAAUGCAUAGGAAUCUGCCCGGUAGUGGGGGAUAACCUGGGGAAACCCAGGCUAAUACCGCAUACGUCCUACGGGAGAAAGCAGGGGAUCCGUGUUCUUCGGAAUGGGGACCUUGCGCUAUCGGAUGAGCCUAUGUCGGAUUAGCUGGUUGGUGAGGUAAUGGCUCACCAAGGCGACGAUCCGUAGCUGGUCUGAGAGGAUGAUCAGCCACAUCGGGACUGAGACACGGCCCGAACUCCUACGGGAGGCAGCAGUGGGGAAUAUUGGACAAUGGGCGAAAGCCUGAUCCAGCCAUGCCGCGUGUGUGAAGAAGGCUUUCGGGUUGUAAAGCACUUUCAGUGAGGAAGAAGGCCUUGGGGCUAAUACCCUCGAGGAAGGACAUCACUCACAGAAGAAGCACCGGCUAACUCCGUGCCAGCAGCCGCGGUAAUACGGAGGGUGCGAGCGUUAAUCGGAAUUACUGGGCGUAAAGCGCGCGUAGGCGGCGUGAUAAGCCGGUUGUGAAAGCCCCGGGCUCAACCUGGGAACGGCAUCCGGAACUGUCAGGCUAGAGUGCAGGAGAGGAAGGUAGAAUUCCCGGUGUAGCGGUGAAAUGCGUAGAGAUCGGGAGGAAUACCAGUGGCGAAGGCGGCCUUCUGGACUGACACUGACGCUGAGGUGCGAAAGCGUGGGUAGCAAACAGGAUUAGAUACCCUGGUAGUCCACGCCGUAAACGAUGUCGACUAGCCGUUGGGGUCCUUGAGACCUUUGUGGCGCAGUUAACGCGAUAAGUCGACCGCCUGGGGAGUACGG
rnacentral:rRNA from 1 species